AAAGAAUAUCGGAGACGGAUGGGCAUGCGGCGCAUUAGCUAGUUGGCGGGGUAACGGCCCACCAAGGCGACGAUGCGUAGGGGUUCUGAGAGGAAGGUCCCCCACACUGGUACUGAGACACGGACCAGACUCCUACGGGAGGCAGCAGUGAGGAAUAUUGGUCAAUGGGCGAGAGCCUGAACCAGCCAAGUCGCGUGAGGGAGUACUGCCCUAUGGGUUGUAAACCUCUUUUGUCGGGGAGCAAAAGCCGGACGUGUCCGGCUGUGAGAGUACCCGAAGAAAAAGCAUCGGCUAACUCCGUGCCAGCAGCCGCGGUAAUACGGAGGAUGCGAGCGUUAUCCGGAUUUAUUGGGUUUAAAGGGUGCGCAGGCGGAUUUUUAAGUCAGCGGUCAAAUCGUGGGGCUCAACCCCAUCCAGCCGUUGAAACUGGGGAUCUAGAGUGUGCGAGAGGUAUGCGGAAUGCGUGGUGUAGCGGUGAAAUGCAUAGAUAUCACGCAGAACCCCGAUUGCGAAGGCAGCAUACCGGUGCACAACUGACGCUCAGGCACGAAAGCGUGGGUAUCGAACAGGAUUAGAUACCCUGGUAGUCCACGCAGUAAACGAUGAAUGCUACCUGUUUGGCCUGAUUGAGGGCUGA
rnacentral:rRNA from 1 species